rnacentral:lncRNA from 1 species
UUUAACUCCACCUACAAUAUCGAACUCUAGUAGCACCUAAAACAUUAAAAGAUCAUAUACUACAUAAUUAUAAAUAACAUUGUAUUUUUACUGUGAGAACGAAUUCAUCCUACGAAUUGGGAUAAACUACCUCUUAAACAACCUAAUUAAUUAAACCCCCAACCAAGAGUACAAAGCUUAUUUAACAUUUUACCAAAGAAAAAAGGCGAGCAAAAAACUACUUCUAACCACUCAGUCAAACCUAACUUAAGAAUUCUAAUCAUAGCCCAAAACGCUUGGAACCAAAGGAUAUAUCGGAAUGGAGAUCUUAUCCAACCGUAACAACACCAGAAGUUGCUUCUUCUCAUUUAGGAGAUUCCAUUUGAUGAGAAGCAUUAGCAUUUGACUCUCUUGCAAAAGAAGGUUGAGACGACCUUACGGAUGCACUAUGACAAGAGUCUCCGGCAUCCGCUUAAGCCGCUACACCUUCCCAGGUCAAGCUUUUUACUCUGGAUCUUUUGACCUGCUAGUCUGCGUAAUAUAUAAUGUAUAAUGUAUUUGGGUUAGGGAGGCGAUACAAAAUUUCAAAAUAAUAUAACUAGAGUGCAUGACCAAUUUGAUGUUAGAAAAGGAGACUACACAUGAUCAUUUUGACGUUUUGGAAGAUAUGCAUUAUAUAUAAACUGUAAUAAAGUUGACAUUUUGUUCCUUUCAAGGAAAUAAUACUUUAGUUGAGGAUCAUUGUUUGCGGCGCAAAU